CCUACGGGUGGCAGCAGUAGGGAAUUUUCGGCAAUGGGGGGAACCCUGACCGAGCAACGCCGCGUGAAGGAAGAAGGAAUUCGUUCUGUACACUUCUGUUAUAAGGGAAGAAAGGCGGAUGAAGGAAAUGACAUCCGAGUGACGGUACUUUAUGAGCAAGCCACGGCUAACUACGUGCCAGCAGCCGCGGUAAUACGUAGGUGGCAAGCGUUAUACGGAAUUAUUGGGCGUAAAGCUGGAGCAGGCGGCAGCAAAGGUCUGUGGUGAACGACUGAAGCUUAACUUCAGUAAGCCAUAGAAACCAGGCAGCUAGAGUGUAGGAGAGGAUCGUGGAAUUCCAUGUGUAGCGGUGAAAUGCGUAGAUAUAUGGAGGAACACCAGUGGCGAAGGCGACGAUCUGGCCUGUAACUGACGCUCAGUCCCGAAAGCGUGGGGAGCAAAUAGGAUUAGAUACCCUAGUAGUC
rnacentral:rRNA from 1 species